rnacentral:rRNA from 1 species
AUGUAUUCAAUAGCCUGGGCUGCUAUAGAGGUUGAGAACAAAGACUCUUGGUUCUGGUUUAUGGCUCUCCUAAACAACGACUUGGAGACUGAAAAUCAAGGAGAAGGGUGGGUCUUCAUAUGUGAUCAACAAAAAUGCCUCAUCGAUGAUGUGUCCAAGGUUGUUCCAAAUGCUGAGCAUAGGAAUUAUGCUAGGCAUAUCUAUGCUAAUUGGAAGAAAAAGCAUAGAGAUUAA